rnacentral:misc_RNA from 1 species
GAGAUUCACGUUAUAGUUGGCCCCAUGUUCGCUGGAAAAACCACCACGCUUCUCCGUCGCAUCCAGUCUGAAAGCGGCAAUGGCAGAAAUGUAGCAGUUAUAAAAUCAAACAGGGAUACAAGAUAUGGUUUGGAUUCAAUAGUGACACAUGAUGGAGUGAAACUGCCAUGUGUGGCACUGCCUAAUUUGUCAUCAUUUAGACAAAAA